rnacentral:rRNA from 1 species
GGGCCUAACANGCAGUCGAACGAUGAAGCCCUUCGNGNUGGCAUUAGAUGACGGAACGGAGUGGAGCUAACACGNUGGNCAAUCGUGCCCCUUCACCUCUGGGACAANCCCUGGAANCGGNNUCUAAUACNGNAUACCACAUCCUGCCUGCAUGGGCGGNGGUUGAAAGCAUCCGGNGGUGAAUGAUGAGCCCNCNGNCUAUCUCCUUGUUGGUGGGGUAAUGGCCCACCAAGGCGACUACGGGUAGCCGGNCUGAGAGGGCGACCGGCCACACUGGGACUGAGACACGGCCCAGACUCCUACAGGAGGCACCUGUGGGGAAUAUUGCACAAUGGGCGAAAGCCUGAUGCAG